rnacentral:rRNA from 1 species
GGAAUUUUGGACAAUGGGCGCAAGCCUGAUCCAGCCAUGCCGCGUGCAGGAUGAAGGCCUUCGGGUUGUAAACUGCUUUUGUACGAAACGAAAAGGUGCCUUCUAAUAAAGGGCGCUCAUGACGGUACCGUAAGAAUAAGCACCGGCUAACUACGUGCCAGCAGCCGCGGUAAUACGUAGGGUGCGAGCGUUAAUCGGAAUUACUGGGCGUAAAGCGUGCGCAGGCGGUCUUGCAAGACAGUGGUGGAAUCCCCGGGCUCAACCGGGGAACUGCCAUAGUGACUGCAAGGCUGUAGUACGGCAGAGGGGGAGUGCAUUCGGCGUGUAGCAGUGAAAUGCGUAGAUAUGCGGAGGAACACCGAUGGCGAA